rnacentral:ncRNA from 2 species
UUCAAAGCAGGAGAUGGCAUACCUCCUAAUAACCGCCUGGGUUCCCGGCUGAUGAUGCCUACGCGAAC